GGGCAGGCAGAGCCAAGUAAAAGAAGAGCCUGGGGCAAAGGACAGAGUACUGGAAAGUUGUCUUAGUCUGUUUUCCAUCAUUGUAACAAAAUGCCCUGGGCUGGGUACCUACAAAGAAAGAAGGUUUAACUGGCUCACAUUUGGGGGCUAAACAUGCAAGAACAGAUGGCCAUGUUUAUGUGGCCUUUGGUGUGGUCCCCCGGGUCACAUCACAAGAAGAUGGAUGUCACCAUGGCAGGCAUGCACAUGAAAUAGAGCAGUCACACAGCCCAACAGGAAGCCAGAGACAAGGGGAAGGAAGGCCAGUGUCUUUUAUAACAAACCCUCUCUCACGAGAACUCGCUUUAUGAGAUUAGGAUAAAUUCCCUCUGAGUGUAACACCCUGAUGACCUAAAUACCUCUCUUUGGUCCCACCCCCUUUAAGACAGUAAGUUUCUGAGGCUGACCUCAAACUUGCCAUCCUCCUGCCUCAGCCUCCUCAAUGCUGGGAUUACAUCAGCAUGCCUGGCCCACUCCACUUCUUAAAGGAGCAACAUUGCCACCCUGGGCACUGAGCUUUCAGCACAUAAACCUUAGGAGACUACACUCAAGCUGUAUCCAAACCCUAGCAGAUGUUUUUGGGCUUGGCCUUCUGGGAUGACACUCCACCCUGGCACCAUGAACAGCAACGUGUCAGCACAGGUCCAUCACCGCCCAACGUGGUCCCCUGGGGAAAGAGCUGUAACACUUAACCCGGAGGAUUCACACUCAAGUCCUGUGCAGUCCACAGCACCCCUAUUCAGGGAAAACUUGAACUAUGGAGCACGCACCCUUUUUUCUUUUUUAAUUUCAUUUGAGACAAAUGCUCAUUAAAAUUGUCCAGGUUGGUCUCGAACUCGUAAUCUUCCUCCUUCUGUGUUGGGAUUACAAGUGAUAUUUCCAAUACAUACAUUAAGUAAAACUGUAGCUUCACUGAUCCAAGUGGAAGUCAGAGAAGCCCCUUCCCCUCUGAGGAUGUCCUGUUGGCUACACUGAUUCAGAACUAUUGGCAGGACUGUAAGAGCCCUGAAUGUCAACUUAGGUCUCUCAUAUUCCAGUCUGAGUGUUCUCACUUAGACUGUGGCUUUCACUCAAGCUACAAAUAAUUUAAAGAGCAAAAUGAAAAGAGAUGACUUUUUGGAGACGGGAAUGGGAUCUGGGGAAUGAGAGAGAGGGGUGGGUGAGGUAAAGGAAGGUAAAAAUGAUCAAGAUGUGAGAUAUAUAUUUCUCCCCCAAAACAAAUAUAAUCACAGUUGGUACCUUGGUUCCCAAACUUAAUUCUUUCCACAAUACUGGCCAUAAACCAAAUGAGAGAAGAACAGAAUCAAAUUUCCCCAUAAGGUCAAUCGUGAACCUAACCGCUGAAUUUGAUUCAGUUCUCG
rnacentral:lncRNA from 1 species